AACGCUUACGAAGCAACACUGCGCAACGAACGAAUGUCGACAAAAUUAAGAUGGAUCACUGGGAGCAUGACUACUGCAAAAAACGACAACUAAGGGGUUGGAGAUUACCAAAACGACCCCGGCCUGCUGAAAAGUAAAGGAAAAGAUGAAAUAACGGCAGCAACUGUAAGCAACUAUGACAUUUGUCAUGGGACUGUGUCGUGGCCUCUAGGAUCGUGCAAUUUAACACCUCUGGAAUAUUUUGUGUGGCAUACACAAUACGCGGAUAAGCGCGAAACGCCUUGCAAGAGCGCGUAUACGGCAUAGAAAAGCACUCUUUAAAAUCAAUAUAUCUGGUUCGUGUUUCGUUGACGCAAAUUUGAUUCUAGUUCAGCCGACGCCGAUAACUCGAUAUACGAAGAUGCCAGAACUCUUGCUGUUCUAUGGAGUAUUUUGUUGUGAAAGCAGUUACCAACUACUCCAGCUUUCGAAACCUAAAGAUUCUGCUGGUGACUGGAAGAAUGGUUUGGUGCUAAAGAAAUAUAAAAUAAGUGACAUUUUUUGUAAUAUUUUUGAACGUAUUAAUUUUCUUGUUAG